GGGCUUGUGGUUUAGUGGUAUAAUACUCCCUUAGCAUCUCUAGGACACCUAGAACAGCGAUUGGGAGUGGUCCAGGGUUCGAUUCCCUGCAAGUCCA